CUGGCGGCGUGCCUAAUACAUGCAAGUCGAACGGUCUUUCUAUGGAAGCUUGCUUCCACUGAGAAGAUAGUGGCGAACGGGUGAGGUAACACGUGGGUAACCUGCCCAUAAGAGGGGGAUAACAUCCGGAAACGGGUGCUAAUACCGCAUAGUUUUCUUGAUCGCAUGAUCGGGAAAGGAAAGACGGCCUUUGUGCUGUCGCUUAUGGAUGGACCCGCGGCGUAUUAGUUAGUUGGUGAGGUAACGGCUCACCAAGACGAUGAUACGUAGCCGACCUGAGAGGGUGAUCGGCCGCAUUGGGACUGGGACACGGCCCAAACUCCUACGGGAGGCAGCAGUAGGGAAUCUUCCGCAAUGGACGAAAGUCUGACGGAGCAACGCCGCGUGAGUGAAGAAAGGUUUUCGGAUCGUAAAACUCUGUUGUCAGAGAAGAACAAGUUGGAGAGUAACUGCUCCAGCCUUGACGGUAUCUGACCAGAAAGCCACGGCUAACUACGUGCCAGCAGCCGC
rnacentral:rRNA from 1 species